rnacentral:ncRNA from 1 species
AUUGCUGUAGCGGGGGUAGUAAUUGAUGAACGCGAAGCCCCGGCUUUGAUCGAUGGCGUGAAACAGCGGGUUCCAGUCGAACAUCGCCAGCAUGAAACCGGGCAGCGUGUUGGCAAGGAACAUCUUGCCCGAUGCGAUCAUGUUCGCGCGCUG